rnacentral:rRNA from 1 species
UACGGAGGAGGCAAGCGUUAUCCGGAAUUAUUGGGCGUAAAGCGUCCGCAGGUGGCGAUUCAAGUCUGCGGUCAAAGACUGGGGCUUAACCCUGGAAAGGCCGUGGAAACUGAAUAGCUAGAGUGCAGUAGGGGUAGAGGGAAUUCCCGGUGUAGCGGUGAAAUGCGUAGAGCUCGGGAAGAACAUCGGUGGCGAAAGCGCUCUGCUGGACUGCAACUGACGCUGAGGCACGAAAGCCAGGGGAGCGAACGGG